rnacentral:rRNA from 1 species
UACGUAGGGUGCGAGCGUUAAUCGGAAUUACUGGGCGUAAAGCGUGCGCAGGCGGUUAUGUAAGACAGGUGUGAAAUCCCCGGGCUUAACCUGGGAACUGCAUUUGUGACUGCAUAGCUAGAGUACGGUAGAGGGUGAUGGAAUUCCGCGUGUAGCAGUGAAAUGCGUAGAUAUGCGGAGGAACACCGAUGGCGAAGGCAAUCCCCUGGACCUGUACUGACGCUCAUGCACGAAAGCGUGGGGAGCAAACAGG